UUGGGUUUCUUCUUGGACGAGAGGUUGUCAUAGAAAGUCUUGGCUUCCUCCCAGCGCGGCGCCGCGGCGGUCUCUGCCCCUGGCCCGGGUUCGCGGGCCUCUCGGGGCUGCCCUGGUUCCAUGCUCCGACUCGGAUCCGAUCUGGCCCAGCGGGAGAAGACAGCGGCGGAGACGCGGAGCUCUCCCGACUAGGCUGCGGAAGGGAGGCGCGUCCCGGGUGGGAAAGGCAGGCGGGCAGGGCCGGGAGGGAGUGCGAGUGAGGCGCCCCGCCCGCCGGGGGUGGGGGACCCGCAAGUCCAAGCCUAGCCUCCCGCUUGGCGUUUAGGGGAACUCUGAUUCCUUGAUCGACCCGAUCUGAAGCAAAUGGGGAGCAGGUGCAGCCUGCUUUCUGGAGCAGGCCGAGUGGAGCCGGACUUGUAGAGUACUGCGGAUUCGAGGUUGUGGGGAUGAAGUUCAAGGGCACGGAGAGAGGAAUGAAACCUAACAUUUUUUUCCCUCCUAAGAAGGUGACCCCUGGGAACGGGUAUGUUCGAGUAUCGAAGCUGCUCCUCUGCUAUCCUGUCCCUGCACACCAGGCCCCAUUGGCUGGAAUUUAGUAAGACCUGUGCCACCUGUGCCACCUGUGCCACCUCUUCAGACAAGGACUCAUGUCUAAGGCUGGGGUUGAACUUCAUAAAGUAGCCCGGAAAGACCUUGAACUCUUGAUCCUCCUGCUUCUACCUCCCAAGUGCUGGGGUUGUAAGCAUGUGGCUCCAUAUCCAUCUUAUGCAGUGUGGGGGAUUGCCCAUGGCUUUGUGCAUGCUGAUCAAAUACUCUACCAACUGAGCUAUAUCCCCAGACUGGUCCACAGGUCCUGAAUUGCCUAUCCCUGGAAUCCUUUGGGAUCUGUUUCCCUUUUUCUUUGAAGUAGCUUUCGUGGGUUCUGUAUGACUAGAAUCCCUGCCUGUACUGGCUGGUUUUGUGUGUCAACUUGACACAACCUGGAGUUAUCAGAGAGAAAGGAGACUCCCUUGAGGAAAUGUCUCUAGGAGAUCCAGGUAUA